UCACUACUUGACUGAAACAAAGACAGAGGAAUCUGAUUUCAAUCGGUGAAAAAUAAAGGAAAAAGCAAAAAAAGUUGGUCAAAAGGUGAGAAGAUGAAGAUACAAAGAAACCCUAGCAGUUGAGGGUAAAAGAUGCAGGUGAGAGGCUGAGAGGUAAAGGAAAGUGCUUACAGCUUGAACUGUAGCGAAUGAGAACUGUGACGAGAGCCUUCAAUGAUGGAGACGAGAGAAAUGUUCUCGUGAGGGUACGCAAAUGAGAAAUGUGGCGGAUGAAUGGUUGAGUGAAAGACGAAUGAUAAAGAGUGAAAUAGAGAGGAAAAGAGGAAGAGAGUGAACGACGGUGUAUUAGGUCGAACGAGAGUGAAAUGGAAAUGGGAAAUGAGAGUGAGAGGGGCAAACAUGAGAAGGACCGAGAGGGAAAUGAAAAAAAA
rnacentral:lncRNA from 1 species